rnacentral:tRNA from 1 species
GGGGAUUUAGCUCAGUGGUAGAGCACUUGCCUAGCAAGCACAAGGCCCUGGGUUCGGUUCCCAGCUCCA